rnacentral:rRNA from 1 species
GACGAACGCUGGCGGCGUGCUUAACACAUUCAAGUCGAACGAUGAAGCCGGAGCUUGCUCUGGUGAAUUAGUGGCGAACGGGUGAGUAACACGUGAGUAACUUGCCCUUGACUCUGGGAUAACUGCGGGAAACUGUAGCUAAUACCGGAUACGACCCUCGGAGGCAUCUCCUGGGGGUGGAAAGAAUUUCGGUCAAGGAUGGACUCGCGGCCUAUCAGCGAGUUGGUGAGGUAAAGGCUCACCAAGGCGACGACCAGUAGCCGGCCUGAGAGGGUGACCAGCCCAACUGGGACUGAGACACGGCCCAGACUCCUACGGGAGGCAGCAGUGGGGAAUAUUGCACAAUGGGCGCAAGCCUGAUGCAGCAACGCCGCGUGAGGCAUGACGGCCUUCGGGUUGUAAACCUCUUUUAGCAGGGAAGAAGCGAAAGUGACGGUACCUGCAGAAAAAGCACCGGCUAACUACGUGGCAGCCGCCGCGGUAA